rnacentral:lncRNA from 1 species
UUUUGUUCUUCUUUUUCUUGUUUUUACUCUAUUUUGAAUUUUGACUUUAGAAUUUUGCUCGGAGUGCAAAAGUUUAAGUGUGGGGGAAUUUGAUCAAUGUAUUUGAAUACACCAUAUUUUACUUUAUGCUAAGAGAUUUUUAUGACUCAUUGCUUUUUUUUUUUUACUAUUUUUAGUGUGUUUCUUAAGUUUAGCUUAUUUUUGCUCUUAUUUUAAUUUUGUUAUUUAUUUUUU